GCCUGCUCACUGUGCCCUGGCAACUUUGUCACUCUGUCUCCCAGGGGGCUGGGAACUCCUUGCCACGGAGGGCUGAGGGGCAGGGAGCCCCAAGGUCGAGGAGGGCAGCCAGCAGCCCUCGGUGGGAGAGGACCUGGGGAGGUCUGGGCAGGAAGCCAGCCGUGGGGGACAUGGGGUUUUACCUGGGAACCUGGGUCAGGAUUGAAUGGAUACCUGUUUUCCAGGCCCAAGCGGUCAGGGUGGCCAUGUCGAUGCCUCCGUUAUGUUUGAACUUACAUUUGUGCGCUAUCCGGAACUUUCUGGCGUGAACGUUCGCAGAGCCUGUGUCUCCAGCCUUGCCCUCCCGAUCCUGUCGCAGAAUGUCAGGGCCACCGGAGGGGAAAUUACAGCCUGCUCAGGCUGCCACUGAAGCCUCGUCCCCAACUGUUCUCUAUAUACCCGGUGUUGGUGACAGCCCCCAGGGAGGGCUCCUGUUCCAGCUGGGAAUCACGGGCCCCCGGGUCUUGCUGUGGCAUUGAGGUGUGCGCCAGCCCCGCCUGCAGCAGUUUCGCGAUGAGUCAGAAUAAAUUAGCAUGCUAACGAAGGAGAACAUGCACAGGAACCAUCUGGAACAAGGCACGUUGUCAUCAGAAGAGCCAAGUUGGUUCCAAAGCCAUACUUACUGUUUCAGACUCAUCCGUCUCCCCCUCCCACAACCUGAGGGAUGGGGGUUAGUGCCAUCCCAGCCUUGGUGGCGUGCCUACAGUCCGAGGGAGGGCACAAACCCAGAUCACCUCUGAGACCGCCCGUCUCAUUGUCGAGGGGAGAGUCACUCAGCAGGGGUGCGGCUUGUGGGGGGCCCGCCUCCCCCUUGGGCUGCCUGAGAGGAGUGACAUAGCCACCGAGGUGGGGGCGAGGGUAGGGACCUCAGUCCCCAGACCUAAGUGUUCAUGGACACACGCACACACACAACACGUAUGCACACACUUUCACAUACAUGCACAUGCACACUCUCGCACGUGCACACACACCACACUCUGUCUCUCUCUCUCUCUCACCCCUUUGAGUCAAGCCUGGUGUGGUGUGCUUAAACACAGAGCGACCCUGAGCCAGAUGGAGCAGCUGCCGUGGUGCUGGGGGUGCUGCAAAAAUACUCAGGAAUCUGCAUCUUUAAAUAUCCAGCCUCCUGCCCCCGGCGUCCGCAGGCAGGAGAAUCCCGUUUCGGAUCCUGGCUGCACACUGCCUUUGUGAUCUCGGUCAUGUGUCUCAGUUUCUCCCAGCUUCAGUGUCCCCGUUUGAUCGGGGCUGAUAGCAGUACACGUGCCUCCAGAGCUGGGACAGGGCUCAACACCGUGAUGUAGGGAAGCCGGAGGCGGCCAGGACCUGGCAGAGGCCAAGUGUUGUCUUAUGGACUUCUUCUGAAGUAGGUACGAGGGCCAUUUUGUUACCUCCCGCACCAGAGUCAUCCUUGUUCAGGGAGGAGGCCCAAAGAGCUGCCAGAGGAGAAGACUGGAGAGAGAGACAGGGAUGGGAGGGACGGGAGACGUUCGGCUCAGCUGGACGAGGCUUGGUGGGAAGGAAGCAGGAGCUCUGACCACAGGGAAAGGCCCUACACACGGGGGCUUUGUGGAUCCUGGGGUUAGACGUGUGAGGCAUUUGACCAUCUGAACUUCAAACUCCUUCCUCUUCCCCAGACCUUAGUGGACUCGGCUGCCACACAGGGGCUCUGGGAGGAGGGUUUAAAGAAACAAGGAAAAGGUUGCAUUUCUGCAUCUGGGUUUGCCUCGACUCAGGGAGGAGAACAGUAUUGGGAGCUGUGGAAGGACUGGGGUCAGCGGCCUUGGGCGUAACCCCCUGGGGAUUUGCAGAAGGGUGAGAGGCACCCACCUGACUUUUAAUGGAUCACGGAGCUUGUGCAGGGCCCGAGGCUAACAAAAUUGCAAACAGUGGUGGGGCUCGGCUGAUGUCUGGCUUCAUUAUCGUCAGCAUUCUUGUUAUAGUCUCGCCACACUGCAAUGGCAGGUGUGGAUAUUUAUUCUUGACUGCUUUAAUACAGGCAUUUGUGUUGGCAAAACAUAUUUGAGUUGCAGAGCAUGCUAAUUCCCUCUUAGGCAAAUCUGUGGAAGACUCGGCCAUUUGGAUCAAGUUCCUACAGGUAUGCAGCUACCAGCCCUCGAAAGAACUAAACAAAACACGAUUUAUGUAACUUGGGCCUUGGGGUUAACAUUUUUCAGGACUUCACAUUCACAUUUUAGCUAUUAAUUUACUGUGGUAUUUCUUACAGUUUUUGCUUUAUAGAUUUUGACGGUGAGUUAUUUGCCGCUUAAAGGUUAAUCGCUGUUAUGCCUUCAUUGGGUCUUGAAUAGUUCCUCAGACCAAAUUAUUGUCUGUCCUUUUCAGCCUUCCCUGACCUUCAUCUUACUGACCCUUUCUCUUGUGGUUUUCACAACACGUCUUUGCUAUCCUUUCCUUUUGAACAUUCAAGUAUUUUAUUUUAGGUGUACCUUGGGCAAAGAGUGCCUAUUUGGAUUGUUUUAUUUAGAGUAUUGUCAAAACAGACAUGUUUGUUGAGACAUCUGUUAUUUAUGCUCUGUUUUCCUUGUUCUUUCCCCAUCUUUGGCUUUGUGAGCUGUUUACUAUUUUAUUUUCUCUAGUGUUUUGGAAGACCUCAUUCUUAUUUGUAUUCUCUUGGUGAUAAAUUCUAAGCUUAAGAUGUAUUUUAAAAAGAGCUUUAUUGAGAUAUGAUUGACAUACAAUUAGCUGCACAUAUUUAAAGUGUACAAUUUGAUAAGUUUUGACAUAUAUAUGUUUAUGAAACCACCAUUACAAUCACGAAGAUGAACAAAAGUAUCUUCAUGUCCUUUGUUAAAUCCUGUUCUUCCUACCUCUUUCCUCACUCCUCCCUCCCCAGGAAAACACUGAUCUGCUUUCUGUCACUGCAGAUUAGUUUGAAUAUUCAGAAUUUCCUACAAAUAGAAUCAUAAAGUAUGUA